GACUGUUUGGCUCAGUUGGGAAGAGCGUGGCACUAGCAAUGCCAAGGGUGUGUGUUCAAUUCCCACAGGGAUCA